rnacentral:rRNA from 1 species
GAUGAACGCUGGCGGCGUGCUUAACACAUGCAAGUCGAACGAAGCAUUUUGAAAUGAGACUUCGGUGGAUUUUUGAAAUGACUGAGUGGCGGACGGGUGAGUAACGCGUGGGCAACCUGCCUUACACAGGGGGACAACAGUUAGAAAUAGCUGCUAAUACCGCAUAAGCGCACAGUACCGCAUGGUACAGUGUGAAAAACUCCGGUGGUGUAAGAUGGGCCCGCGUUGGAUUAGCUAGUUGGAGGGGUAACGGCCCACCAAGGCGACGAUCCAUAGCCGACCUGAGAGGGUGACCGGCCACAUUGGGACUGAGACACGGCCCAG